rnacentral:rRNA from 1 species
GACGUAGGGCGCGAGCGUUGUCCGGAUUUAUUGGGCGUAAAGAGCUCGUAGGCGGUCUGUUGCGUCUGCUGUGAAAACUCGGGGCUUAACCCCGAGCCUGCAGUGGAUACGGGCAGACUAGAGGUAGGUAGGGAGAAUGGAAUUCCCGGUGUAGCGGUGAAAUGCGCAGAUAUCGGGAGGAACACCGGUGGCGAAGGCGGUUCUCUGGGCCUUACCUGACGCUGAGGAGCGAAAGCGUGGGAGCAAACAGG